UAUUUUUGAAGUCUCAAAUAUUUUGGCAGUUACUUGUGUUCAACGAGAUUGGCUUUGGAUAUAUUAUGUUCGUUAUCAUGAAACUACACGUAUCGAUGUAGGUAUAGAUGACCACUUUGUGGUAUAAACUACGACAGAGUGCUCACCCUCAAGAGGAUUCUAUUUUGUGUUCUUAUUAGAAUGUUGAGUCGAUUCGUAUGGUAAUACGAUGAUGUGACCUGAGUAAGUAGGGUGUAUAAUAUUUGUCGUUAGGUACAUAACCUAGUUGACCUUCUUGUGUCGAUGAUGGUAUGGUAUUCUCAAUAAAAGUUAAGGAUAAUUUUCUU
rnacentral:lncRNA from 1 species